rnacentral:rRNA from 1 species
AGUGAACGCUGGCGGUAGGCCUAACACAUGCAAGUCGAACGGCAGCACAGUAAGAGCUUGCUCUUACGGGUGGCGAGUGGCGGACGGGUGAGGAAUACAUCGGAAUCUACUUUUUCGUGGGGGAUAACGUAGGGAAACUUACGCUAAUACCGCAUACGACCUACGGGUGAAAGCAGGGGAUCUUCGGACCUUGCGCGAUUGAAUGAGCCGAUGUCGGAUUAGCUAGUUGGCGGGGUAAAGGCCCACCAAGGCGACGAUCCGUAGCUGGUCUGAGAGGAUGAUCAGCCAAACUGGAACUGAGACACGGUCCAGACUCCUACGGGAGGCAGCAGUGGGGAAUAUUAGACAAUGGGCGCAAGCCUGAUCCAGCCAUACCGCGUGGGUGAAGAAGGCCUUCGGGUUGUAAAGCCCUUUUGUUGGGAAAGAAAAGCAGCAGGUUAAUACCCCGCUGUUCUGACGGUACCCAAAGAAUAAGCACCGGCUAACUUCGUG